UACGUAGGGUGCAAGCGUUAUCCAGAAUUACUGGGCGUAAAGCGUGCGCAGGCGGUUCGCUAAGACAGAUGUGAAAUCCCCGGGCUUAACCUGGGAACUGCAUUUGUGACUGGCGGGCUAGAGUAUGGCAGAGGGGGGUAGAAUUCCACGUGUAGCAGUGAAAUGCGUAGAGAUGUGGAGGAAUACCGAUGGCGAAGGCAGCCCCCUGGGCCAAUACUGACGCUCAUGCACGAAAGCGUGGGGAGCAAACAGG
rnacentral:rRNA from 1 species